GCUUGUCUCAAAGAUUAAGCCAUGCAUGUCUCAGUACAAGCCAAAUUAAGGUGAAACCGCGAAAGGCUCAUUAAAUCAGUUAUGGUUCCUUAGAUCGUACCCACAAUUACUUGGAUAACUGUGGUAAUUCUAGAGCUAAUACAUGCAAACAGAGCUCCGACCGGAGACGGAAGGAGUGCUUUUAUUAGAUCAAAACCAAUCGGUGGCGGACUCGUCAUCGUACAACUUGGUGACUCUGAAUAACUUUACGCUGAUCGCAUGGUCAUCGCACCGGCGACGCAUCUUUCAAAUGUCUGCCUUAUCAACUGUCGAUGGUAGGUUCUGCGCCUACCAUGGUUGUAACGGGUAACGGGGAAUCAGGGUUCGAUUCCGGAGAGGGAGCCUGAGAAACGGCUACCACAUCCAAGGAAGGCAGCAGGCGCGCAAAUUACCCACUCCCGGCACGGGGAGGUAGUGACGAAAAAUAACGAUACGGGACUCAUCCGAGGCCCCGUAAUCGGAAUGAGUACACUCUAAACCCUUUAACGAGGAUCAAUUGGAGGGCAAGUCUGGUGCCAGCAGCCGCGG
rnacentral:rRNA from 1 species